UGCUCUGUAGACAGAGCCAAUGGUACUAAGGAAGAAUUAAUAUUAAUGAAUUGACCCAGCUUGUGGGUGAGCAUUCUGAGUGCUGAACCACAUCCCCUUUAGAGAAGUGAACACAUGGUUCCCAGCCAGGAGCUGCUGAGAGAAGUCAGAGCUCAAGAGUUCUUCAAAGAAGCUGGAUAAGGGGACAUAAAAAUGGAUUUACCAGCCUCUCUAUCUGUCCUCCUCUAAUUGCUGCCUACACUAGAAGGAUAAGGUGAUGAACUCGGCUCUUUGGCAGAAGUCGAAUUUGUGCAGUGGUGCUGAUGUGGAUUCCUAAGGCUCUGGGACAGGACAGCCAAUCACACAGGAGUCUGGCAUUCAUGUCACCUUUGGGGGUAAAAAAAUGUCUAUCUUGGUUGUGUGAAAUGACAGGCUUGUCCAACAUAAGCCUGAGCAGCUGUGAAGAUCAGCCUGAAGGCCUGGAGGAGAUGGCCUGCCAUAUGGGGCUCCCAAAGCUCCUCCUGUACCUAUGCACUGCAGCAGCAACAAUGCACA